GCGCCCCAGAGAUGGUGCGCGUUCGGGGUGCUGCGUCGUAUUCUGUAUGUCAUAACGACUCUCGGCAACGGAUAUCUCGGCUCUCGCAUCGAUGAAGAACGUAGCGAAAUGCGAUACUUGGUGUGAAUUGCAGAAUCCCGUGAACCAUCGAGUCUUUGAACGCA
rnacentral:rRNA from 1 species